rnacentral:tRNA from 1 species
GGACGAUUAGCUCAGUGGUAGAGCAUUGCAUUCACAUUGCAAGGGCCGCUGGUUCAAGCCCAGCAUCGUCCA